rnacentral:rRNA from 1 species
AGGGGGCGAGCGUUAUCCGGAUUCAUUGGGCGUAAAGAGCGCGUAGGCGUCCUGUCGCGCGGCACCGUCGAAGCCGGGGGCUCAACCCCCGGAAGCGGGCCGAACGGGCAGGAUCGAGUGCGGUAGGGGCAGGCGGAAUUCCCGGUGUAGCGGUGAAAUGCGCAGAUCUCGGGAAGAACACCGACGGCGAAGGCAGCCUGCUGGGCCGGCACUGACGCUGAGGCGCGAAAGCUGGGGGAGCGAA